rnacentral:rRNA from 1 species
UACGAAGGGGGCUAGCGUUGCUCGGAAUCACUGGGCGUAAAGGGUGCGUAGGCGGGUCUUUAAGUCAGGGGUGAAAUCCUGGAGCUCAACUCCAGAACUGCCUUUGAUACUGAAGAUCUUGAGUCCGGGAGAGGUGAGUGGAACUGCGAGUGUAGAGGUGAAAUUCGUAGAUAUUCGCAAGAACACCAGUGGCGAAGGCGGCUCACUGGCCCGGUACUGACGCUGAGGAGCGAAAGCGUGGGUAGCAAACAGG